CUUAACUUAAUGUCCUUAAGACCACAAAAUUAGGCCAAACCAAUAGAUAGCACAUAACAUAUAAUUUAUCCAAAUGUUGUUCAAAUGUAUGUAGAUAUAAGUCCAUAUAUCUUACAAUCUCUCACUUGGACGAGAUACACAUACAUAUGUACAAACCUUAGCAUUAUAUGUUACAAUAUAACCUUAGGAGCUCAAAAUUGCUAUCACAAU
rnacentral:lncRNA from 1 species